ensembl:lncRNA
GGGGAUGUGGGGAUGUCUAAGAGGGGACGUGGGGAUGUCUAAGAGGGGACGUGGGGAGGACGUGGGGAUGUCUAAGAGGGGAAGUGGGGAGGGCGUGGGGAUGUCUAAGAGGGGACGUGGGGAGGACAUGGGGAUGUCUAAGAGGGGACGUGGGGAUGUCUAAGAGGGGACGUGGGGAUGUCUAAGAGGGGACGUGGGGAUGUCUAAGAGGGGACGUGGGGAUGUCUAAGAGGGGACGUGGGGAUGUCUAAGAGGGGACGUGGGGAGGACGUGGGGAUGUCUAGAGGGGACGUGGGGAGGACGUGGGGAUGUCUAAGAGGGGACGUGGGGAGGACGUGGGGAUGUCUAAGAGGGGACGUGGGGAUGUCUAAGAGGGGACGUGGGGAGGACGUGGGGAUGUCUAAGAGGGACGUGGGGAUGUCUAAGAGGGGAGGAGGGGAUGUCUAAGAGGGGACGUGGGGAGGAUGUGGGGAUGGCUAAGAGGGGACGUGGGGAGGACGUGGGGAUGGCUAAGAGGGGACGUGGGGAUGUCUAAGAGGGGACGUGGGGUGGACGUCGGGAUGUCUAAGAGGGGACGUGGGGAGGACGUGGGGAUGUCUAAGAGGGGACGUGGGGAUGUCUAAGAGGGGACGUGGGGAUGUCUAAGAGGGGACGUGGGGAGGACGUGGGGAUGUCUAAGAGGGGACGUGGGGAUGUCUAAGAGGGGACGUAUGGAUGUCUAAGAGUGGACGUAGGGAUGUCUAAGAGGGGACGUGGGGACGUCUAAGAGGGGAAAUGGGGAUGUCUAAGAGGGGACGUGGGGAUGACGUGUGGAUGUCUAAGAGGGGACGUGUGGAUGUCUAAGAGGGACGUGGGGAUGUCUAAGAGGGACGUGGGGAUGUCUAAGAGAAGACGUGGGGAUGGCUAAGAGGGGACGUGGGGAGGAUGUGGGGAUUUCUAAGAGGGGACGUGGGGAUGACGUGGGGAUGUCUAAGAAGGGACGUGGGGACGACGUGGGGAUGUCUAAGAGGGGACGUGGGGAUGACUAAGAAGGGACGUGGGGAUGACUAAGAGGGGACGUGGGGAUGACUAAGAGGGGACGUGGGGAUGUCUAAGAGGGGACGUGGGGA